rnacentral:rRNA from 1 species
AGAGUUUGAUCAUGGCUCAGGACGAACGCUGGCGGCGUGCCUAAAACAUGCAAGUCGAACGAACUAGCAAUAGUUAGUGGCGAACGGCGGAGUAAUACAUAAGUAACGUGCCCUAAAGACCGGGACAAACGCAGAAAUGUUAUGAAUACCGGAUAUGGCCGAUUCUUGGCAUCAAGAGUCGAUUAAAUGGUUUUUCGCUUUAGGAGCGGCUUAUGACACAUCAGGUAGUUGGUGGGGUAAUGGCCUACCAAGCCGACGACGUGUAGGGGGUCUGAGAGGAUGAUCCCCCCNNCGACGACGGGUAGCGGGUCUGAGAGGACGACCCGCUCGAGUGGGACUGAGACACGGCCCACACACCUACGGGUGGCAGCAGUUGGGAAUCUUGCACAAUGGGGGAAACCCUGAUGCAGCGACGCCGCGUGGAGGAUGACGGAUCUAGGUCUGUAAACUCCUUUUUCAGGGAAAGACUUAGGACGGUACCCUGAGAAUAAGCUCCGGCUAACUACGUGCCAGCAGCCGCGGUAAGACGUAGGGAGCAAGCGUUGUCCGGAUUUACUGGGCGUAAAGGGCGCGUAGGCGGUCUGUUAAGUGAGUACUAAAAUCUCCAGGGCUCAACCCGGAAACCGGUUCUCAUACUGACAGACUGGAGGAAGGCAGAGGUAACUGGAAUUCCUGGUGUAGCGGUGAAAUGCGUUGAUAUCAGGAGGAACUCCAAUGGCGAAGGCAGGUUACUGGGCCUUAUCUGACGCUGAGGCGCGAAAGCGUGGGUAGCAAACAGGAUUAGAUACCCUGGUAGUCCACGCCCUAAACGAUGGAUGCUAGUCGUGAGAGGUAUCGACCCCUCUUGUGACGCAGCUAACGCAUUAAGCAUCCCGCCUGGGGAGUACGGCCGCAAGGUUGAAACUCAAAUGAAUUGACGGGGACCCGCACAAGCGGUGGAGCAUGUGGAUUAAUUCGAUACUAACCGAAGAACCUUACCCAGGUUUGACAUCGAUCGAAAAGCGUAGAGAUACGCUCCUGAACCACAAGUUCACGUGAAGACAGAUGUUGCAUGGCUGUCGUCAGCUCGUGCCGUGAGGUGUACGGUUAAGUCCGCCAACGAGCGCAACCCUCGUCGUGUGUUACCAGCGAGUAAAGUCGGGGACUCACACGAGACCGCCGGUGUAAGCCGGAGGAAGGUGAGGAUGACGUCAAGUCAGCAUGGCUCUUACGCCUGGGGCUUCACACAUGCUACAAUGGGCGAAACAAACGGCAGCAAUACCGCGAGGUGGAGCAAAUCCGAAAAAUACGCCCCCAGUUCAGAUUGUAGUCUGCAACUCGACUACAUGAAGGCGGAAUCGCUAGUAAACGCAGGUCAGAUAUACUGCGUUGAAUACGUUCCCGGGUCUUGUACACACCGCCCGUCAAGUCACCUGAAUCGUCUUCACCCGAAGUCCGUGGCCUAACCGUAAGGAGGGAGCGGCCGAAGGUGAUGGGGGUAAGGGGGACUAAGUCGUAACAAGGUACCCGUACCGGAAGGUGUGGGUG